GUAGGUGGCAAGCAUUGUCCGGAAUUAUUGGGCGUAAAGCGCGCGCAGGCGGUUCUUUAAGUCUGAUGUGAAAGCCCACGGCUCAACCGUGGAGGGUCAUUGGAAACUGGAGAACUUGAGUACAGAAGAGGAAAGCGGAAUUCCACGUGUAGCGGUGAAAUGCGUAGAGAUGUGGAGGAACACCAGUGGCGAAGGCGGCUUUCUGGUCUGUAACUGACGCUGAGGCGCGAAAGCGUGGGGAGCAAACAGGAUUAGAUACCCUGGUAGUCCACGCCGUAAACGAUGAGUGCUAAGUGUUAGGGGGUUUUCCGCCCCCCUUAGUGCUGCAGCUAACGCAUUAAGCACUCCGCCUGGGAGUACGGCCGCAAGGCUG
rnacentral:rRNA from 1 species